CUGUUGUAUUCAGCAUUUCACUGUGAGGUCUACUACAUCUGUUGUAUUCAGCAUUUCACUGUGAGGUCUACUACACCUGUUGUAUUCAGCAUUUCACUGUAAGGUCUACUACACCUGUUGUAUUCAGCAUUUCACUGUAAGGUCUACUACACCUGUUGUAUUCAGCAUUUCACUGUAAGGUCUACUACACCUGUUGUAUUCAGCAUUUCACUGUAAGGUCUACUACACCUGUUGUAUUCAGCAUUUCACUGUAAGGUCUACUACCCCUGUUGU